rnacentral:lncRNA from 1 species
GCCCAUUUGUGAUUUACAUGUUCAACACUGGUGUUUUCAGCAGAACUUCUUUGGUAUGCAAUAUUGUGCUGAUUUAAUAAAUCUUUAAGGACUUUUAUUUCUUCAGAAAGUUUCUUGUAUUCCUUAUUACACUUAUCCACUGUUUCAAAUUGCAGACUUGUUUUCAUAUUCUGUUUCUCAGCUUCCUUUUCUUCUGUUGCUUUCAGAAGUCCUGCUUCCUCAAAAAUCUCUUUCAGUAUUUUUUUGUAUCCCUGCUCAGUUAUUAGUUGGUCAUACAGAGACUGCUCUGCUUCAUCCCAUUUCCUUUGUAGUGCUUCAGUCAGAGUUGGAUAAACCAAAAGAGAGUGUGGAUGGCACACAAGAGGAGUCUCAAAAGUGAGGGAGUAGACACAAGUACUUGGCUCAGACACAUAAGCCAAUUUAUUGCUCUUUCCACAAACAAGAUGAACCUUUGUCUGCCUGCUCUUGGUUUCACAUGAGUCUCCUUCCCUCAUCCACAUUCCAACAAAUGUGUUGUUGUCAAUUUCCCAUUCGUGCC